AGCGCAGGCGGUUUUUUAAGUCUGAUGUGAAAGCCCUUGGCUCAACCAAGGAAGUGCAUCGGAAACUGGAGAACUUGAGUGCAGAAGAGGACAGUGGAACUCCAUGUGUAGCGGUGAAAUGCGUAGAUAUAUGGAAGAACACCAGUGGCGAAGGCGGCUGUCUGGUCUGUAACUGACGCUGAGGACUCGAAAGCAUGGGUAGCGAACA
rnacentral:rRNA from 1 species